AGACCAGACACUGUCAGAUACAUUUUACUUAGGAACACGCCCCUCGUCCAUAGAACAAAGUCCUUUGAAGGUCGACUUUGAGGAGGAUUGCCGGCGCUCCAACGGCACAGAAAUAACAAGACCUAAGCCGUUGCUAAUCAUCUUAAACAGGGACACAGAAUACUGAAGAAAAAAGAGAGGCAGAUCAUUCUCCCCAGAACGCUUCACCCACGUGCAUGUUUUUAUCUUUUAAGAACUCCUGGAAAGAGACUUAGCAAGCCACGUGAACAGAUUCUGGAACGGAUUCAAAAGAUUUGAGAGCCUUUCAGAGUGCAA